rnacentral:rRNA from 1 species
AAAUAUAAAGAGUCGAACCUGCCCAGUGAUAUAUAUUUAACGGCCGCGGUACUCUGACCGUGCAAAGGUAGCAUAAUCAUUUGCCUUAUAAUUGAAGGCUUGUAUGAAUGGUUUGACGAGAGCAAAGCUGUCUCUUUUUAAUUCUAUAAAACUUGAUUUUUAGGUGAAGAAGCCUAAAUAAAAUUGAAAGACAAGAAGACCCUAUCGAGCUUUAAAAACUUUUAUUAAUAUGUAAUGAUUAAAAUAAAUCGGCUAUAAUAAAAGAUUUUAGUUGGGGCGACUAAGGAACAAAAAAGCUUCCAUUUUUAAAUUAAAGCAAAUAAGCUAUGAUCCAAAAUUUUUGAUUAAAAGAAUUAGUUACCGUAGGGAUAACAGCAUAAUCUUUUUUGAGAGUUCUUAUCGAAAAAAAGGCUUGUGACCUCGAUGUUGGACUAGAAUAUCCUAAAUGAUGCAGAAGUCUUUAAGGGUUGGUCUGUUCGACC